rnacentral:tRNA from 1 species
GAUUGUGUGGCCGAGUGGACUAAGGCGGUAAACUCAAGAUUUAUUGGAUCUUUUCCUCAUGGGUUCGAAAAAAAAAAAUUCCCAUCGCAAUCA